GAAAUGCGAUAAGUAAUGUGAAUUGCAGAAUUCAGUGAAUCAUCGAAUCUUUGAACGCACAUUGCGCCCGCCAGCACUCUGGCGGGCAUGCCUGUUCGAGCGUCAUUUCAACCCUCAGAACCCCUUGCGGGAUCUGGCGUUGGGGAUUGGCAUCCAGCCAGCCCCGAAAUCUAGUGGCGGUCCCUCCGCGACCUCCCCUGUGCAGUAGCGAUACCUCGCAGCGGGACAGCGGUCUGACCACGCCGUAAAACCCCCAACUUCUCAAGGUUGACCUCGAAUCAGGUAGGAAUACGCGUUGAACUUAAGC
rnacentral:misc_RNA from 1 species